GACGAACGCUGGCGGCGUGCCUAAUACAUGCAAGUUGAGCGCUGAAGGUUGGUACUUGUACCAACUGGAUGAGCAGCGAACGGGUGAGUAACGCGUGGGGAGUCUGCCUUUGAGCGGGGGACAACAUUUGGAGACGAAUGCUAAUACCGCAUAAAAACUUUAAACACAAGUUUUAAGUUUGAAAGAUGCAAUUGCAUCACUCAAAGAUGAUCCCGCGUUGUAUUAGCUAGUUGGUGAGGUAAAGGCUCACCAAGGCGAUGAUACAUAGCCGACCUGAGAGGGUGAUCGGCCACAUUGGGACUGAGACACGGCCCAAACUCCUACGGGAGGCAGCAGUAGGGAAUCUUCGGCAAUGGACGAAAGUCUGACCGAGCAACGCCGCGUGAGUGAAGAAGGUUUUCGGAUCGUAAAACUCUGUUGGUAGAGAAGAACGUUGGUGAGAGUGGAAAGCUCAUCAAGUGACGGUAACUACCCAGAAAGGGACGGCUAACUACGUG
rnacentral:rRNA from 1 species